GACAGAGGGAGCCCGACUCCCGUGCCUCUGGCAUGAGGAAAGUCCCCCCACCGGCCGGACAGGCGACCGGGCACACGCCCGGAGUCGGAGACGGCUGGCUCUGGAACAGCAACGACACCCCCCGCCCCGACCCGUGAGUCGAGCGAACCGACCCGCGAGGGAAGGGAGUUAACCCGACGAGGUUCGACGGGCGGGAACGGAUGGAACGGCGAAUCCUCGCCGGUGCAAGUCCGCGCCACAAGGUAGUCCGGCCACGGCGCGGACGCUCAGCCGAAUGUCGGGACGAACCGAAGGGGGCUUACUCCCCUCAGUC
rnacentral:RNase_P_RNA from 1 species